AGUGAACGCUGGCGGCGUGCCUAACACAUGCAAGUCGAACGGGCUAGUGCUUCGCACUAGUCUCUUUCUGGGGUUGCUACUCUAAGGCUACCUGCUAAAGUUAUUGCUUUAAAGCAGGGGUUUUAGGGGACCUUCCCCAAAAGGGGCCAGUGCGGAGCACUGGCCAGUGGCGAACGGGUGAGUAACACGUGGGUAAUCUGCCCUCGAGUGGGGAAUAAGCUCCCGAAAGGGGGUCUAAUACCGCAUGACGUUUCAUAACGAUGGUUAUGAAACCAAAGCCCAAAAGGCGCUUGAGGAGGAGCCUGCGUCCUAUCAGCUUGUUGGCAGGGUAAUGGCCUACCAAGGCUAUGACGGGUAGCCGGCCUGAGAGGGUGUCCGGCCACACUGGAACUGAGACACGGUCCAGACUCCUACGGGAGGCAGCAGUAGGGAAUCUUCCGCAAUGGGCGCAAGCCUGACGGAGCGACGCCGCGUGAGUGAUGAAGGCCUUCGGGUCGUAAAGCUCUGUUCGUUGAGGAACG
rnacentral:rRNA from 1 species